CGCAAAGAGCAGUAAAUGAUUUUGAUUCAAACUCCGAACAGGACGUUAAAAUUGUUUAUUUUCUUGGAGAAAGUGUCCAUCAAAGACUGGUGACCUUUUUGUGUAUUCGAAAACAGCAUGGGUGUGGAAUCACGUGACUUAGAAGGUCCUCACAUGAGUCACAACCGAUGUAUACAAACAAAAGUUAGACACCUCUUGAAAAUCAAGCAGAAAAACCUGAAGAUGAUGGGCAAAGGCAGCAAGCCAGGAGCAGCCAAGGCUCUCAUCGACACACAGCUGGGAAAGAUGUAUCAGGCUAGUACUCUUACCAGUUCACGAGCCUUCAUCCAUUUAAUAUGGUACUGAUGUAUUACCUUUUUUAAUACGAGGACUGUGCUGAAGAGCGUAACAUAAGAUGGUGUGA